rnacentral:rRNA from 1 species
GGAGGGUGCAAACGUUGCUCGGAAUCAUUGGGCGUAAAGCGCACGUAGGCGGUCUUGUAAGUCGGAUGUGAAAGCCCUCGGCUCAACCGAGGAAGUGCAUUCGAAACUGCAAGACUUGAGUACGGGAGAGGGUUGCGGAAUUCCCGGUGUAGAGGUGAAAUUCGUAGAUAUCGGGAGGAACACCAGCGGCGAAGGCGGCAACCUGGACCGAUACUGACGCUGAGGUGCGAAAGCGUGGGGAGCAAACAGGGAUUAGAUACCCUGGUAGUCCACGCUGUAAACGAUGAGUGCUAGGUGUCGCGGGUAUUGACCCCUGCGGUGCCGCAGUUAACGCGUUAAGCACUCCGCCUGGGAGUACGGCCGCAAGGCUA